rnacentral:rRNA from 1 species
AACGCGAAGAACCUUACCAGGUCUUGACAUCCCUCUGACCGUCCUAGAGAUAGGGCUUUCCUUCGGGACAGAGGAGACAGGUGGUGCAUGGUUGUCGUCAGCUCGUGUCGUGAGAUGUUGGGUUAAGUCCCGCAACGAGCGCAACCCUUGAACUUAGUUGCCAGCACGUAAAGGUGGGCACUCUAGGUUGACUGCCGGUGACAAACCGGAGGAAGGCGGGGAUGACGUCAAAUCAUCAUGCCCCUUAUGACCUGGGCUACACACGUACUACAAUGGCCGGUACAACGGGUCGCGAAGCCGCGAGGCGGAGCCAAUCCCAGCAAAGCCGGUCUCAGUUCGGAUUGCAGGCUGCAACUCGCCUGCAUGAAGUCGGAAUUGCUAGUAAUCGCGGAUCAGCAUGCCGCGGUGAAUACGUUCCCGGGCCUUGUA